AAAGGAAUAGACGGGGACCCGCACAAGCAGUGGAGCAUGUGGUUUAAUUCGAAGCAACGCGAAGAACCUUACCAGGUCUUGACAUCCCCCUGACCGGAUCAGAGAUGGUCCUUUCCCUUUGGGACAGGGGAGACAGGUGGUGCAUGGUUGUCGUCAGCUCGUGUCGUGAGAUGUUGGGUUAAGUCCCGCAACGAGCGCAACCCUUGAUGCUAGUUGCCAGCACGUAAAGGUGGGCACUCUAGCGUGACUGCCGGUGACAAACCGGAGGAAGGCGGGGAUGACGUCAAAUCAUCAUGCCCCUUAUGACCUGGGCUACACACGUGCUACAAUGGCCGCCACAAAGGGCAGCGAAGGAGCGAUCCGGAGCGAAUCCCAAAAAAGCGGUCUCAGUUCGGAUUGCAGGCUGCAACUCGCCUGCAUGAAGUCGGAAUUGCUAGUAAUCGCGGAUCAGCAUGCCGCGGUGAAUACGUUCCCGGGUCUUGUACACACCGCCCGU
rnacentral:rRNA from 1 species